rnacentral:rRNA from 1 species
UACGUAGGGCGCAAGCGUUGUCCGGAAUUAUUGGGCGUAAAGAGCUCGUAGGCGGUCCGUCACGUCUGCCGUGAAAACCCGAGGCUUAACCUCGGGCCUGCGGUGGAUACGGGCGGACUAGAGGUAGGUAGGGGAGAAUGGAAUUCCCGGUGUAGCGGUGAAAUGCGCAGAUAUCGGGAGGAACACCGGUGGCGAAGGCGGUUCUCUGGGCCUUACCUGACGCUGAGGAGCGAAAGCGUGGGGAGCG